AUCGCUUCUCGGCCUUUUGGCUAAGAUCAAGUGUAGUAUCUGUUCUUAUCAGUUUAAUAUCUGAUACGUCCUCUAUCCGAGGACUAGAAAAAAAAAAAAAGGUAUAUUUAAAAGCAAGAAUAACAUAA
rnacentral:snRNA from 1 species